UGGGGGAUAUUGCACAAUGGGCGAAAGCCUGAUGCAGCGACGCCGCGUGGGGGAUGAAGGCCUUCGGGUUGUAAACUUCUUUUGCUCUGAACAAGGCGCACCAUGGGGUGUGUUGAGUGUAGGGGUUGAUUAGCGCCGGCUAACUACGUGCCAGCAGCCGCGGUAAUACGUAGGGCGCGAGCGUUGUCCGGAAUUAUUGGGCGUAAAGGGCUUGUAGGUGGCUGGUUGCGUCUGUCGUGAAAGCUCAUGGCUUAACUGUGGGUUUGCGGUGGGUACGGGCUGGCUUGAGUGCAGUAGGGGAGGCUGGAAUUCCUGGUGUAGCGGUGGAAUGCGCAGAUAUCAGGAGGAAUACCGGUGGCGAAGGCGGGUCUCUGGGCUGUUACUGACACUGAGGAGCGAAAGCAUGGGGAGCGAACAGGA
rnacentral:rRNA from 1 species